UACGGGAGGCAGCAGUGGGGAAUAUUGCACAAUGGGCGCAAGCCUGAUGCAGCCAUGCCGCGUGUAUGAAGAAGGCCUUCGGGUUGUAAAGUACUUUCAGUCGUGAGGAAGGUGUUAAGGUUAAUAACCUUAGCAAUUGACGUUAGCGACAGAAGAAGCACCGGCUAACUCCGUGCCAGCAGCCGCGGUAAUACGGAGGGUGCGAGCGUUAAUCGGAAUUACUGGGCGUAAAGGGCACGCAGGCGGUUAAUUAAGUUGGAUGUGAAAUCCCCGGGCUUAACCUGGGAAUGGCAUUCAAGACUGGUUAGCUAGAGUCUUGUAGAGGGGGUAGAAUUCCAUGUGUAGCGGUGAAAUGCGUAGAGAUGUGGAGGAAUACCGGUGGCGAAGGCGGCCCCGUGGACAAAGACUGACGCUCAUGUGCGAAGCGUGGGGAGCAAACGAGGAUUAGAUACC
rnacentral:rRNA from 1 species